AGCUGUAACAAAUGGAGAGCCAAGUUAAUCAUAUAAUAUAUACUAGCGUAUAGACGAACAAAGCGAGCGAGGGAGAAGAAAAUCCCUUACGGAAAUUUGGCAAGAUAGAAAAGGAUAGCGAAUCCAAUGAAACUGUGACUGGUUUUGAAUGACAGAGCGUCACAAUUCAGCACGCGAAAAAUCAACACCUUAGUAUUUUGGAUUUUUUGCGUACAUCGUGGUUUAUUUUCAGUAAAUCUAAUUGUAUUCAACAAUGGUAACAUCUUCUGCGAGUGAUUGUGGCGUUAAUCAUAGAAAUAAUCCUGAAAAUUGCACAUUUCACAGAUUCCCUCUAUAGAUAUUAUAAUAAGCCGAAAGUGGUUGAAAUAAGUUGGACGCGUUGGUUGGAAUCCAAAGAAGAACUCUACCAUUUGCAGCAACUCGACUUAAGAAUGAAUGUAAACUUCAUAAUUUAGGAAACGAAACUGUAAUGAACCAGUUAAAUAAAUAAAUAUGUGGGAACAUCUCAGACACGGCCAUCCGAGGCAGAGCCUGUAAUAUGGGUCAGACAGCUGAUAUAUCUAAGAUUGUUCUGUUUAAAAGUCAAUAAAAUAAGGAGCGAUGAACAAAAGUGUUUUUAUUUUUAUUUAUGCAUUUUUUUACACUAUGUCAAAAUUAUAAUCUGGACAACAACAGUCUAUGGAACAACUCUCCAAGGGUCGAACAUCGAACUUCAAUAACUUAUCGAUGGUCCUCCAAAGUAAAGAAAGGUACAUCACUAGCUAAUGCACACACUGAAAAAUCAAAAUUGGUCACGUUUUAUCGAGCUGUCAGUUCGUCUAUACGCUAGUAUAUACUAAGUCUAUGA